CUGAAGUCAGGCCACUUGUGCCACGGUUUGAGCAAGCCGUGCUGCCUGUAGCUCCGCCAAUAAUGGGAGGCGUAAUAAUCCCUAGGGAGGCCAUGCGCCACGGAAGCUGUACGCGUGGCAUAUUGGACUAGCGGUUAGAGGAGACCCCUCCCAUCACUGACAAAACGCAGCAUAAGGGGGCCCGAAGCCAGGAGGAAGCUGUACUCCUGGUGGAAGGACUAGAGGUUAGAGGAGACCCCCCCAACACAAAAACAGCA
rnacentral:lncRNA from 1 species